AGAGUUUGAUUCUGGCUCAGAACGAACGCUGGCGGCGUGGAUAAGACAUGCAAGUCGUGCGACAGACCAGGAAUUGAUUACUUCGGUUUGAUUUUCCUGACGAUGAGCGGCGAACGGGUGCGUAACACGUGAGAAACCUGCCUUGAAGUUCGGGAUAGCUCGGCGAAAGUCGAAUUAAUACCGGAUGUGGCCUAGGGAUAGCAUUUUCCCUUGGUUAAAGCUCGGUCACAGAGCGCUUUUAGAUGGUCUCGCGGUCUAUCAGCUUGUUGGUGAGGUAACGGCUCACCAAGGCUACGACGGAUAACUGAUCUGAGAGGAUGAUCAGUCACACUGGAACUGAGACACGGUCCAGACACCUACGGGUGGCAGCAGUCGAGAAUCAUUCACAAUGGGCGCAAGCCUGAUGGUGCGACGCCGCGUGGGGGAUGAAGGGCUUCGGUCUGUAAACCCCUGUCAUCUGUGAGUAAGGUCUCGUAUAAAAGCUACGAGGAUUGAUAUUAGCAGAAGAGGAAGGGACGGCUAACUCUGUGCCAGCAGCCGCGGUAAUACAGAGGUCCCAAGCGUUGUUCGGAUUUACUGGGCGUAAAGGGUGCGUAGGCGGUUAGAAAAGUUUGGUGUGAAAUCUUCGGGCUCAACCCGGAAACUGCACUGAAAACUAUUUAACUAGAGGAUCGGAGAGGAGAUUGGAAUUCUCAGUGUAGCAGUGAAAUGCGUAGAUAUUGAGAGGAACACCAGUUGCGAAGGCGGAUCUCUGGACGAUUCCUGACGCUGAGGCACGAAAGCUGGGGGAGCGAAGAGGAUUAGAUACCCUCGUAGUCCCAGCCGUAAACGGUGCGCACUUGCUGUGGGCGGAUUCGACCCCGUCCGUGGCGAAGCUAACGCGUUAAGUGCGCCGCCUGGGGAGUACGGUCGCAAGAUUAAAACUCAAAGAAAUUGACGGGGGCCUGCACAAGCGGUGGAGUAUGUGGCUUAAUUCGAUGCAACGCGAAGAACCUUACCUGGCCUUGACAUGUAGUGGCCCGGGUGCGAAAUCACCCUUUUCUUCGGAACUGCUACACAGGUGCUGCAUGGCUGUCGUCAGCUCGUGUCGUGAGAUGUUGGGUUAAGUCCCGCAACGAGCGCAACCCCCGUGUUCUGUUGCCACCCGGAUGAGAAUCCGGAGCACUCUGGACAGACUGCCUGGUUUCAACCAGGAGGAAGGUGGGGAUGACGUCAAGUCAGUAUGGCCCUUACGGCCA
rnacentral:rRNA from 1 species